rnacentral:rRNA from 1 species
UACGAAGGGAGCUAGCGUUGUUCGGAAUCACUGGGCGUAAAGCGCACGUAGGCGGAUGUGUCAGUCAGGGGUGAAAUCCUGGAGCUCAACUCCAGAACUGCCUUUGAUACUGAGAAGCUUGAGUCCGGGAGAGGUGAGUGGAACUGCGAGUGUAGAGGUGAAAUUCGUAGAUAUUCGCAAGAACACCAGUGGCGAAGGCGGCUCACUGGCCCGGUACUGACGCUGAGGUGCGAAAGCGUGGGGAGCAAACAGG